AGUGAACGCUGGCGGUAGGCCUAACACAUGCAAGUCGAACGGCAGCACAAUAAGAGCUUGCUCUUACGGGUGGCGAGUGGCGGACGGGUGAGGAAUACAUCGGAAUCUACUUUUUCGUGGGGGAUAACGUAGGGAAACUUACGCUAAUACCGCAUACGACCUACGGGUGAAAGCAGGGGAUCUUCGGACCUUGCGCGAUUGAAUGAGCCGAUGUCGGAUUAGCUAGUUGGCGGGGUAAAGGCCCACCAAGGCGACGAUCCGUAGCUGGUCUGAGAGGAUGAUCAGCCACACUGGAGCUGAGACACGGUCCAGACUCCUACGGGAGGCAGCAGUGGGGAAUAUUGGACAAUGGGCGCAAGCCUGAUCCAGCCAUACCGCGUGGGUGAAGAAGGCCUUCGGGUUGUAAAGCCCUUUUGUUGGGAAAGAAAAGCAGCAGGUUAAUACCCCGCUGUUCUGACGGUACCCAAAGAAUAAGCACCGGCUAACUUCGUG
rnacentral:rRNA from 1 species